rnacentral:lncRNA from 1 species
AACCCCUCACCCCUCUCAUUUCACACCCCCUAUCCCUUCGUUCUCUUCCAAGACGGACACCAAACACCAUAGCCCAAACCCUAGCCGCCCCCUCACUCCUCCGCCUGAAACUCGGCGGUACCACCUCCGAUGACCAUGAAAAUCACACCACUGAACCAUCUUGAUCCCCCCUCUCCAAAUCCACCCUCCAUCGCCUUCGAAUCAUCCCCGAGAUCUUCGAAUUUUAGAUCAAAGAAUUGACCCCUAACCCUAGUUCACCCAUAUGCCUCCAAGUUGACACACCGGCUCCACCUAACCCACCUUGUCCCUAAACUUUCAUUGGAUUCCUUCGAAUCUCAGUCGAGCAUCUCAAAUUUUGAAUGCAAGAUGAACCCUGAAAAACUUCUAAGUCCCGUCCUGGUACGAGUUGGACAGGUUAAAGUUGUAAUCAACCUUCGUCGUAUGUUCUCAGUUGAGAACAUUCGACUAAGGUUCAUUCCAAUCUCACAUCCGAAGUAAGAGGUCGAGUUAGAGUUUGGAAGUGGAACUGUUUGAGAGUUUGGGCUGUAAUUUUUGAGGUAUUUUUCAUUCUUUUAUUUUCUAUUCUGUUGAUGUUUAUCCAUCCGAAAUUGAUUAUAUCUCAUCAUAUUUUCAAUUUAUUUCUUUCUUCUCUUUCGGAUUCUUUUUAUUUGGUCCAGUUUUCUUAUGUGGUUGACUAGCAUAUAUUAAAUCAAUUGAAUAUCUUUGCCCUUCAGUUUUGUUGUAAAAGUUAGUGUCCGUAAUGUUCGUGUACAAAACUGUAUCUAAUCCUGUAAUGGGUCACUAGUAUUAUUGAUUCAAAUGGUCUCAUUUUCUGUGGUGUUUGGUUCCAUAUUCUGUUAUUAGUCGUUAUGCACAUCAAUCCAGCUUAUUUUUGUCCAAGUAUGUUACAGUAUUUCACUCAGUUCCUUUUAGUUUAGAUUUGUGGAUGCAGUCAGCUUUUCCUCUAUCAUUGCGAUGCUGUUUGAUAUAGAUUUAAUUCAAUUUUGUGUAGUCUAAUGACUUGCAUCUGAUUGAUUGCUCUGUUGAGUUUGAGGUCUGAUAUGAUUUAGACUUAGGCUUAAAUUCAGUUUUAGUUUUAAUAAUUCCAUUAUGUUUCAUGUGGCAGUAAGUUUGAUUUUGAUUUGAGUUCAGUUCUUUUGUUUAAUCUCAGUGAAUCAUUUAUUAAGGAUUGACCUUAGUUGUAGUUAGAAAAUAUUUUUGAGUUUGGCAUUUGUUUACUAGUGAUUUGAAUCAGAAAAAUGGCAGUCGGUAGGAUUCAGGGGUGUUUUAGAAACAAAAAAAAUAAGAUAAUCUUGUUUGACUAAAUAGUCUAUCCUGUUGGACCCCAAUGUGCUUUAAUUUGAAUUAAUUAGUAGGAAGGGACCAUUGAAAAUGAAGAGAAAAUAAUUUUAGAAAUUCAAAGUUUGGCUUUUGUUUACUAGUGAUCUGAAUCAGAACAAUGGCAGUCAGUAGGAUUCAAGGGUGUUUUAGGAAUAAAAAGAAUAAGAAAAUCUGGUUUGACUAAAUAGUCUAUCCUGUAGGACCCAAAUAUGCUUUAAUUUGAAUUAAUUAGUAGGAAGGGACCAUUGAAAUGAUGAAUGUUGACUACUUUUGCUUAAUUGGAAUUAGGAAUAGUAGUUUAAUGAUAAAAGUGUAAAAAGAAGACAUAGAAGAGCAUAUUUGGGGGCUGGAUAUUAAAGUAAGGGGUAAUAGGAAGGGUAAUGAAAAAGGUUUGUAAUACUAAUUAAAAAAGGGAAAGAGGGUCUGGUUUUUAGAUAAAUAAGAGUCAUUUGGCUAAUUUUAAAGCGGCAGUUUCAGAGGCUUAAAAUAAGAAGAGUUUAAACAUCAACUGGAAUCAGUCAGUAGAGAGUAUUGUGAGGGCUUUUGAAUCAGUUAGAGAGGGCCUCCUUGGAAUCAGACUAGAAGAGCUUAUAAGAAUCUAAGAGUUUAAGUUGAAAAGCCGAAAAAAGAGAAGGUUGAAAACUUUAGAAAAUGAGUCGAACUUUGUUUGGGAUUCAAGUAUUUGGGUCAGUUUUGUUUGAACUCGGAUGGUUGAUUUUGUUAAUGCUAUUGUUGGAUCAAUUUUAGUUUUUAAAGUGGUUUUUCUCAAUCAUUUCUGGGUGGAUUUUGCUUGCUGAGCAUUGUCUCUGUUACUGCCCUGUUGCUGACCUCUCGUUUCUCUGUUUUGCUUUCAAAUUCCAGGUACAUUCUCUUGAAAUUUUGCUGAUGUAUGCGUCAUAAUGAAGAGGAAAGUAAAAGUUUGAAAUUUGGCAGCUUGAAUCUAUUUUGUUUAAGUUUCAGUUUUGUUUGUGAUGUUUAUAUACUGGGUCAGUCGAGCAUUGUGGUUUGGCCACUCUUAGUGUGAUUAGCUAAAUUUGUAUGUUGUAUGUUAAACUUUGGAACUGUUAGCAACAUGUUACGGGUAGAAUUUAGCAAAUGCAUUAGUCUUGAGAGUUUUACUGUGAACUUUAUUGGCAUGGAUAUGUGUUAAGUUAGAACACCUCUGUUAGUUUGAUAGUUACACUUUGGGUGUCAAACUUACUUGGAAUAAUGGUUCAAGAGAAAUAUGAAUUGAAAGGAGGUGUUUGUGGAUCCAUAGUGUAUUGUUUUGAUAUGUGAAUAAACUAAGCAUGUAAUCGUAUUUUAGUGACUAAUCAAAUGGCUAGAUUAUUCUAUUAUGAUCCCAGUAACUUAACGGCUUUGCAAAAAUAUAAAAUCAGUUAUUUUGCUUUCGUCAUUUGUCAAAUGAGCCAGGAGUAUUAUGUUAUUGAUCGCAUUUUAUAUUAUGGUAGCCAUGUUGUCAUAUGUGUUAGGAUUUAUGCCCGUCACUAGAAGGGGGUGAAUAGUGAGGCACGAGAAUGUCGAUAAAUUUUGCGAAAUUAAAAUUGCAGGAGUAA